rnacentral:rRNA from 1 species
GAUCCUGGCUCAGGAUGAACGCUGGCGGCGCGCCUAACACAUGCAAGUCGAACGGCACCUAUCUUCGGAUAGAAGCGAGUGGCGAACGGCUGAGUAACACGUGGAGAACCUGCCCCCUCCCCCGGGAUAGCCGCCCGAAAGGACGGGUAAUACCGGAUACCCCGGGGUGCCGCAUGGCACCCCGGCUAAAGCCCCGACGGGAGGGGAUGGCUCCGCGGCCCAUCAGGUAGACGGCGGGGUGACGGCCCACCGUGCCGACAACGGGUAGCCGGG